CCUACGGGCGGCUGCAGUAGGGAAUAUUGGGCAAUGGAGGCAACUCUGACCCAGCCAUGCCGCGUGCAGGAAGAAGGCCCUCAGGGUUGUAAACUGCUUUAGAAGGGGAAGAAUAAGCUCCACGAGUUGGAGUGAUGACGGUACCCUUAGAAUAAGCACCGGCUAACUACGUGCCAGCAGCCGCGGUAAUACGUAGGGUGCAAGCGUUGUCCGGAUUUAUUGGGUUUAAAGGGUGCGUAGGCGGGCUUUUAAGUCAGCGUUCAAAAACGGCAGCU
rnacentral:rRNA from 1 species